UCUAAAGGGUGAUUCCCAUUCAGUGCCCAACUCACAGCAAUGAGGUUAAAUUGGUUUGGAUGAUAUCAGCUACAUGUAAUUAAACCAGCAGCCCAUGUCUGAUCCUUUCUGUGACCAUGUUAGGUGUUAAAUUAAGGUCUGAUUAAGAGUGUGCUGCUGCAGUUAAGGUCAAGGACUAAAGAUCACAGGCUUUGUUUCAUCUAAUAACAAUAAAGACUGUCUGGCUGCCAAAUACCACAACAGCCCUUGUUCUCCUAUCAGACUGCUGUCCAGCUAGAGAGAUCUGAUUUCACUGGUAUCCCUUUUUAAACCCUACUUCUAAGAGGGUUUGUAGCUAUUUCAUCUGUGUUAAGCAGCACUGUGUUACCCGAGGCUAUAUGCUACGUUCUAUAUGAUCAAAGCAGAAAUGCAAGCAGCUUCUGACGAAGAGUUAUCGUGGCUGAGGGGAAAAAAUAUCAAGGAAGGAGAAAAAAGAUACAGCGCUACAAAAUACCAGGUCAUGCCACCAAAGUAAACACCCACAGACUUUCAGAGGAUCUGGUUUGCCAGUAUUGUAUGUUACAGUAAUUACACCAAUCUGGAACAGAAGUUUUCCUCCCCACUCCUGAGAGAAGAUCUCCAAGUACUUUACAAAGGCAACAAAAACGUCACUGACACCAUUUUACUGCAAGGGAAAUAGGAGCAGAAAGGGAAAAGUUAUUUGGCUGAGAAUCCUUCAAGAGACCAACAGCAGCGGUAGAAUACGAGCAGCAAUGUGCCAAGUAAGAAAGCUGCCCCAACUACAUGCUGCCUGUAAUCAUCACAUUUCUAAUGCCAAUAAAAUCUUUGUUUAGCAUUCUUUGU